UGGGAUAGAUGAUUGGGGUGAAGUCGUAACAAGGUAGCCGUAUCGGAAGGUGCGGCUGGAUCACCUCCUUUCUAAGG
rnacentral:rRNA from 1 species